rnacentral:rRNA from 1 species
GUUGUAUGGUUAAGUGACUAAGCGUACACGGUGGAUGCCUUGGCAGUCAGAGGCGAUGAAGGACGUAGUAACUUGCGAUAAGCGUAGAUGAGGCAGUAACAGCCACUUGAGUCUACGAUUUCCGAAUGGGGAAACCCACUGGCAUAAGCCAGUAUCAUUGAGUGAAUACAUAGCUCAAUGAAGCGAACCGGGAGAACUGAAACAUCUAAGUACCCCGAGGAAAAGAAAUCAACCGAGAUUCCGAAAGUAGCGGCGAGCGAAAUUGGAUUAGCCCUUAAGCUUUACAUGUGUUAGACGAACGGUCUGGAAAGUCCGACGAUACAGGGUGAUAGUCCCGUAGUUGACGAUGCAUGUUCAGUGAAAUCGAGUAGGGCGGGACACGUGUUAUCCUGUCUGAAUAUGGGGGGACCAUCCUCCAAGGCUAAAUACUCCUGACUGACCGAUAGUGAACCAGUACCGUGAGGGAAAGGCGAAAAGAACCCCUGUGAGGGGAGUGAAAUAGAACCUGAAACCGUGUACGUACAAGCAGUAGGAGCACCUUCGUGGUGUGACUGCGUACCUUUUGUAUAAUGGGUCAGCGACUUAUAUUCAGUGGCAAGGUUAACCAUCUAGGGGAGCCGUAGGG